rnacentral:lncRNA from 1 species
AAAUCUCAGAGUCAGUCCACAGUGAGCCUCCAGUAAUUUGUCAGUUACAGUUCGGUUUCCCUAUCCCUGCACUGGUUCUCAUAGAGGUUUCUGUUCAUCAUUUUCUGCUUUGGUGGUCUAGGCCAUAAGGACUACAACUCUUAGAUGAGUCCUAGUGCUGAACUAAGUCCAGAGACACUGGAUUGGAAGGCAUGUGACAUACUGAGACAUCAGCUGGUGCAGCCAAGGCAUCACCCCUCCCCAAACCCUAGGCUGCACAGCUCACACUCCAAAAGAGACUCUCUUCCUUCCGCUUUAGGAUAGGAGAGGAAAAAAUGGGAAGGACUUUCUUCGCAUCUUGGAUACUAGCUCAGCUACAGAAUGAUAGGGCACCAUCAGUGCUGCAAGGCUCCUGUUCCAGGCCCUAGCUCCUAGAUGACAUUUCUGGACACACCCUGGACCAGAAGGAAACUUGCUGCCUUGAAGGAAAGGAUGCAGUUGUGGCAGAAUUCAUCACUUGUUAACUGAAGAGGCUUUGGACCCUGAAUAACCAGCAGCGAUCCACAGGUACUAUGUUGAGGGCUUUGGGUGAGCCUCUGAGACUUGCUGGCUUUUGGCGAGACACAGCACAUUCCCAGCUGUGUUGGCUAUGGGGUAAAACUCCUGCUUGAGAAAAGCAGAAGGAAAAGUAAAAGAGAGUUUGUCCUGUACUGUACACACCAGCACGGGCACAGAGCGGUAGAGCAACACGCGAUGCCUUAGGAUCCCCGAUUCCAGGACUUGACCCUUGGAUGGCAUUUCUGGCGCUGCCCUAGAACAGGAGAAAGCCCACUGCCCUGAAGAGUGAGUCUCAGGCCAGGCAGCCUUGAACCUUAAGGGAACAUUGGCUAAAUCAUAGUUUGAUAGUACUCCUCAUGGCCUGGUGGCGAGUGCUAUGGAGUGAGGCUUCUCCUCUUUUGGAAAGGGGAGGGAAGAGUGGGAAGGACUACAUCUUGUGGUUUGAGUGCCGGUUCAUCCACAAUAAAAUCAAAUACUAAGUAGACGUCUAAGGUUUUGUACUCUAGUCCCUGAUUCUAUGGCACCUUUGCAUCCACCCAGGGCUUAGGCAACCUCAUUGACCUGAAAGGAGGGACACAGGCUUGAUUGACAUUGCCACUGGCUCAUUGUAGUACCUCAGGGCCUUGAUGUGAACACAGACAGUAGCCAGGCAGUAGUUACAGCAGGCCCUGAGUGAGACCCAAUACUGUGCUGGCUUCAGGUCUGACCCAGCACAGUAAUAAUGGUGGUGGCCACAGGGGUGAUUGUGUCAAUCCACCCUCAAUGUUAGAUGGCCCAGGAGAGAGGGAGGGG